rnacentral:rRNA from 1 species
AGUGGGUGUAGCGUACCUACUAGCCUACGACGGGUACGGGUUGUGAGAGCAAGAGCCCGGAGAUGGAUUCUGAGACACGAAUCCAGGCCCUACGGGGUGCAGCAGGCGCGAAAACUUUACAAUGCUGGCAACAGCGAUAAGGGAACCUCGAGUGCCAGGUUACAAAUCUGGCUGUCGAGAUGCCUAAAAAGCAUUUCAUAGCAAGGGCCGGGCAAGACCGGUGCCAGCCGCCGCGGUAACACCGGCGGCCCGAGUGGUAACCGCUUUUAUUGGGUCUAAAGGGUCUGUAGCCGGCCAAGUAAGUCCCUUGGGAAAUCUGGCAGCUCAACUGUCAGGCUGCUAGGGGAUACUGCUAGGCUUGGGACCGGGAGAGGUGAGAGGUACCUUGGGGGUAGGGGUGAAAUCUUGUGAUCCUCGGGGGACCACCAGUGGCGAAGGCGUCUCACCAGAACGGGUCCGACGGUAAGGGACGAAAGCUAGGGGCACGAACCGGAUUAGAU